UGCGAGCUCCUACGGGAGGCAGCAGUGGGGAAUCUUCCGCAAUGGACGAAAGUCUGACGGAGCAACGCCGCGUGAGUGAUGACGGCCUUCGGGUUGUAAAGCUCUGUUAAUCGGGACGAAAGGUCCUCUUGCGAAUAGUUAGAGGAAUUGACGGUACCGGAAUAGAAAGCCACGGCUAACUACGUGCCAGCAGCCGCGGUAAUACGUAGGUGGCAAGCGUUGUCCGGGAUUAUUGGGCGGAAAGCGCGCGCAGGCGGAUCCGUUAGUCUGUCUUAAAAGUUCGGGGCUGAACCCCGUGAUGGGAUGGAAACUGCUGAUCUAGAGUAUCGGAGAGGAAAGUGGAAUUCCUAGUGUAGCGGUGAAAUGCGUAGAUAUUAGGAAGAACACCAGUGGCGAAGGCGACUUUCUGGACGAAAACUGACGCUGAGGCGCGAAAGCCAGGGGAGCGAACAGGAUUAGAUACCCUUGUAGUCCUAUC
rnacentral:rRNA from 1 species